CUUUCUUUCUUUUUUUUUUUUUGAGAUCAGAAUGCUCUCUCCUUUGGCCCAGCUGCAGUUCAAUGGCAUGAUCUUGGCUCACUGCAACCUCUAACUCCCGGGUUCAAACAAUUCUCCUGCCUCAGGCUCUUGAGUAGAUGGGACUACAAGCGCCCGCUACCACGCCAGGCUAAUUUUUAUAUUUUUAGUAGAGAUGGAGUUAGUGAUCCACCCCCCUCAGGCUCCCAAAGUGCUAGGAUUACAGGCAUGAGCCACCGCGCCCGGUUGUACUAGGGUUUUCUAUUGAGUUUCUUGCCAAGGGUGACUUCCAGUAAUAACUCCCCCGCACUUUCCUCAGGACUGGAAAGCUCAGGCAGCCCAGGGUGAAUAAAAGGCUGAGUAGUGCCGUCACCACAGAGGGGCAGGGUGGCCACAAGGUGGGCAGCAGCAGGGAUGGGCAUUGUGAGGCAUUGUGUGGGGCUGUGGGGCUGGACAUUGUGAGUCACUAGCCUGACCUGGCUGUUUCCUGGUAAGCAGGUGACAUAGGAAGCUUUGUGGUUAUAGGCAUCAGCCAGGGCCAGCAACCCUCAGUCGGUAGCUGGUAGUGGAAGGAGGAGGAGCUCCGACUGUGCUGUCUCACGGCAGUUUUUGUGCCUCUCAGCGCUUGUCGUGUUCGUUUAUUUUUCAAAGAAGAUAGCAGGUCCCCGACCUCAUAGACCAGCCAGUUUGGGAGGUGGCACCAGAGUAAGGGCUGAGGCCCCAGAUCUGCCUGGGGUCAGGCUGCUUCUACAAGUGCUGUGCCAGCCUCAGUAGUGUGGCUGCUCGGGCAGCACCGUUUCAGUUUCAUCGAAGGCUCAGGCAGGAGUGGAGAGGAGUGUGGGUGCCCCAUGGGGUGUAUACUGACCUGUUGUAUCAACUCCAGCUGUAGCUGGUGCAGGGGGAAGGUGGCACCCUGUUAUGAAUCUGUUGUUUACGAGGCUGUGGCUGCUGCAACAUCAGAAUCCACUAGUGUAGAGCCUGGCAAGCUGGAUGUGGGAGCCACGGAGGGCCAUGAACUGCAGCACAUCGGCAACCAAAAGAUGCCCAUAGGCCCCCCUGAGGACUGCCUGAGUUUAAAAUCUCUACCACCAAGUGAGGAAGACAAUGAUGAUGCCCACAUUUUACCAUCACCUGUCCUGGGUACGUACCUUGAACUAACUCACUUUCUGAGACACAAACUUUCUGGCUUGAAUAUAUAGAAACCUUAAUCUGGGUUCCUGUUAAAAAAUAUUGGGGAUCUGGUGAGAGCAAAUGAUUUUGCAAGUGUAUAGCUAUGAGCAGAGGGGCUGUAGAAAUGUGUGUGAACCCAGAGGACCAACCAGGAGAUUUUGUGUGAGCCCGUGUGUCUUCACCUGGAGGAGGAGAAGUGAGUGCACCUCUCGCUGACUUAUCCUGAUGUUGGUGGUUCUAAAGAGUGGAUUCUGGAGAAUCUCAGCAGGGAAGAGGAUGCCUUUCUAGGUAGGUAAGAAGAUUUCAAGUGCGGUCUAGUAACACAGCAUUUCCAGGAGCCUUCAUGUUAUACCUGCUGCUUGGGAGGCUGAGGGAGGGUGUAGAAAGAGAAAAAGAAAAAGUAAAUGUAAGUGAAGUUUGUUCUUUUGAGUUUAUGAGAUUUUGAGUAUCCUGUGUUUUCGAUCCCCUCUUCUUAUUUAUUAUUUAAAGAUGAUCUUUCUAGAACACCUGCUCUUUCCUGCCUCUGACACUGCAAAAUCUCAAAGCCUUUAGUUUAGGACAGAGUUCUAUCGCAGGCAGUUACUUAAUGCUGGAGACAGAAUUCUUCUGUGGUGUGCCCAGAUGCAUAGGAGAGAUUGAUCCUCACCUUAUGAACUGUUAGGUUUCCUGGCAGCACACUCAUUUGUCUGUUUUUCCCUGCUUACCUCUGGUAUCAAGAGCUCUUCCUCGGCAUGGAGGACAGAAUGAAAAUUCAAUCUGGGCUCAGUGCAAAAGCUCCAGUGUCUCGUGGAAAUGGAGGGAGAAGCACAACCUUGAGCACACUGUCAGCAUUCUAUUUCUUCAUUUGAAUGAGAAUAUGCAGUUUUACCAUCAUUUGUUCAAGAGGGUUUCCUUUCCCCAUUGUGUAUUUUUGACACGUUUGUUGAAGAUCAGUUUACUGUAUGUGUGUUCAUUCAAUUCUGGGCUCUCUAUAUCUGUGAAACUUAUGAGUGCCCCUACGCUAGAAACAUACUCUCUGUAUUUCUGUAUUUUGUGUGUGUGUGUGUGUGUGUGUGUGUGUGUGUGUGUAUUUCAAUCUCAUGAACCUGCAUCCUCUAACACAAUUUUUUUAAUGUCAUCAUGGUUACAUAAGGCACAUAAAAUUCAUUAAAAUUGUAGGAUUAUCUUUUCCAUUUCUCCACUGAUGGGUGUUACCAGUUUGAUAGUAAUUGUUGUGAGUCUGUAGAUCAUUGUGUAGUAUUGUGUGUUAGUCAGGUUUAGUCUUCCUAUCCAUGAAUACAGGAUGCCUUUCCACUUAUUUGUACCUUCCUUAUUU
ensembl:lincRNA